AGUCGAGCGGACCGACGGGAGCUUGCUCCCUUAGGUCAGCGGCGGACGGGUGAGUAACACGUGGGUAACCUGCCUGUAAGACUGGGAUAACUCCGGGAAACCGGGGCUAAUACCGGAUGCUUGAUUGAACCGCAUGGUUCAAUCAUAAAAGGUGGCUUUCAGCUACCACUUGCAGAUGGACCCGCGGCGCAUUAGCUAGUUGGUGAGGUAACGGCUCACCAAGGCGACGAUGCGUAGCCGACCUGAGAGGGUGAUCGGCCACACUGGGACUGAGACACGGCCCAGACUCCUACGGGAGGCAGCAGUAGGGAAUCUUCCGCAAUGGACGAAAGUCUGACGGAGCAACGCCGCGUGAGUGAUGAAGGUUUUCGGAUCGUAAAACUCUGUUGUUAGGGAAGAACAAGUACCGUUCGAAUAGGGCGGUACCUUGACGGUACCUAACCAGAAAGCCACGGCUAACUACGUGCCAGCAGCCGCGGUAAUACGUAGGUGGCAAGCGUUGUCCGGAAUUAUUGGGCGUAAAGCGCGCGCAGGCGGUUUCUUAAGUCUGAUGUGAAAGCCCCCGGCUCAACCGGGGAGGGUCAUUGGAAACUGGGGAACUUGAGUGCAGAAGAGGAGAGUGGAAUUCCACGUGUAGCGGUGAAAUGCGUAGAGAUGUGGAGGAACACCAGUGGCGAAGGCGACUCUCUGGUCUGUAACUGACGCUGAGGCGCGAAAGCGUGGGGAGCGAACAGGAUUAGAUACCCUGGUAGUCCACGCCGUAAACGAUGAGUGCUAAGUGUUAGAGGGUUUCCGCCCUUUAU
rnacentral:rRNA from 1 species